rnacentral:lncRNA from 1 species
GCAUGGUAGAUAUCUAAAAUUGCUUUGUUUUGACUAUCACAUCUCAGGAAUAUCAGUAUUGUAAAUUCUUGGGGUGUGACAGCAACAUGAAUCUUUGGCUGUCAUUUUGCUUUAUCAAGGACCAUACCCUCAAUAGGGUCAUAAAUCUUCAUAUCUUCUUUCACUAUUUCCAACGAUGGCCUUGUGGUUAUACUUUUUUCUCUUUUUGAGCCUUCCACUUGAACUAACUCGCACAUCGUAAC